CACAAAACACAGAUGGAACAGUGUACACCUGGCAGCCAGGCUGUUUUAUAGCCAUAGAAAGAAGGAAAAGUUUCACCGUAGCUACGAGCACGAAACUUUGGCGGUUGACAACGAAUCGCGCUUGGCGGGAAGACGGCCUCCUUCAGCUUCAGUGAAUCGUCACAUUCGUCUACAAGUUAACACAGAACAGUGUACGGCUGACAGCAUGAUAGCCUUCAGACACAAACACGAAGAGAUUAGUCAAGUUAAAACCAUGAAGAUAUAGCCUGUCAGUUUAUACCGAGGGAGCGCUAAGCGGUAAGACGAACAGGUCAGAAAAAAAUGAGGUUAAAACUCUAUCAAAUAUCUACAAGCGCUGCCACAUAACAUAGCGAGAAUGUCGUCACUGUAGUUAUCAACAUUCCGUGGUUAAAUGCUAAGUACUCCGUUCAAGAGCUUAUUUCAGUUGGAAUCAUGUAAACACAGCAUUUCAAUUCGUAUCGAAGAUGGCCAAGCAGGUAAAUUCAGAAAUCGAAAAAGGAAAAUGGUAAAAUACUAUCAAACACCAUCAAAAUGCUUUCAGGGUUUUCCAAUAACACAGCGCUAGCAAAUAAUGUUUGUCGUUGGUAUCCCUGACAUACAUGUAUGUUUCUGGAAGUGGACCAAGAGAGGUCACAGUUGGACUUUGAAGUUGAACUACGGAACUCUACACCCGUUUGUUUCCAUAAACCAAUUCCUAACACAAACUUCACAGAUUCUCCUACUUUAAAGACGUUUAUCGACCAACAAAAACCAUUGGCGCAUUAAUUGUGAACAAAGGUUUUUUUAGAUGGAAAUUUCUCAUCCCCACAAGAGGAUUGUGAGCUGAGUUCGUCAUCUGAAGAAGUGUUUGUUUACGGAUUUCCAUGCUACGUUCAAGGUGUAACCUGCGUUUAUAGAGGGAGAGGAGCGUAAGGAAAAAAUGACAAUUUUUGCUGCGAUUUUCUACUUCUGAUGCAUGUGAACGAGUAGAUGAGUGAUGAGUAUACAUGUUAGCUUGUAGCCUCGUCUGAACAUUUAUAGCUCAUCCACUCGUUCACAUCCGUCAGAAGAAAAUCGCACCUAAAAUCGCAGCAAAAAUUGCAAAAGCAAACGGGCUUGUGCAUGGAGUAGACUGUUGACUAACCCCGCCAGGUAUGACUCAUAAACUGUGUUUCUAUUUGUGUAAAUUGAACUAUACAGCAAGCCAUUUGCCUUAGCGAUUUUAAGUAUUCCAAUUCACAUAUAUAUUUGCAAAUGUUGACCAGAUGAACUAACCGUUGCAAUAACAAUAGACUAAGAGCAGGGUCUCCUAUUAACGUCCAGACAAAGGACCUAUACAUUUGUUUUUAUAUUCAGGAAGUUGCGACAAACAGACAAGACCACAAUUUUUUUAUGUUUCGCUAAUAUGCCAGGCGACAUUCAAGAUAUUAAAAGUAGGUCAACUGAACCGAGCUCUAAACAGCCCAAAUGCGUGCGUCGUUAAUGCUAUUAGACUCUUUGCAAUUGCCAAGGCUGGAUUAACUGUUUUUCCAUCUGUAAAUACGAUUUGUCAUUCUGGAAUUCAGUAUAAGGAUGUUUAAUUCUUUAAAUCGUAAACCAAUUUACAUAAGAAUGCAAAGUUGCCUGAGAUUUGCCACAAGGAAAAUCCUACAUGAAUUUCAGAAGGUCCCAGAUGUGCGCAUCGCGGGUUUAAACUCAUAAUGCCCAUAAUAUCUCUAGGAAGUAACGCAUUUCAGCGAUUAUUACGUCGUCCCGACAACGUGAAAAUCCAUCUGUUUCGUGUUGUAAACAGUGCGCAAACGGCUGUCAAGGAUUCUCGUAGAAAUCAAAUACACCUGACAUCUUUGUGUUGUGUUCGAAAUAUUAUUGUGUUAAAAGACGUGGGCAUUAUGCUUCUGCAAUGUUUACCAUAACUCUUCAAUAUAACAAGCUUUACAUGUCCAUAAUAUUAUUUUGCGCAGUUUGUAUAAAAUGUUAAAUCACCUAAGUACAACCGAUUUCUUUUAUGAAAUUGAGUGUAUUAAACUUGCACUUAUAUUCUAUAAAACCGGCAGCCAAUGCGCGCUAAUAAAUCCUGUAAAUCGCAAAGAAAAAUUCAGUUUAUUUUGUCUACGGUAAUAACAAUACAUACUAAUGAUUAUAGUUCAUUGUAUAAAAUGGCUACACCAGUUUAGUAUCGUCUACCUUACCAUGAGCCAGGCGAUCUAAGCAAAGCUUAGGACGAAAUUACUAUUCUACAGGUCUGUUUAAUGUACUGAACCUUGAUAUAUUUGUAUUAGCAAUCAAGGUGUAUUAAAUAUGCGGCUAAACUCAGUGAAGUGGCUGAUUGUUUUGCUUGCUCAGCGCCGCUAUAGGAAGAAACAAUAAUCAAACUACAAAUGCUAUUGAUAAACAAAUUACUUACAAAUGCUCAAUGGCCUUUCCAAACAGCAAGCACGAAACAGCAGGAUAAUAAUGAGCGAGGAAUUGAGCUUUCUACACGACGGCGGCGCUAUGGCGUUCCAGCUAGCGGUAGACGAUUCGAUUGAAAACUGAGCCGCGUGGUUAUCAGCGCGCUUAUCUGGUUUCCAUCAGCACUGCGCAAUGACAGGCGCACCGCAAGAGGUGCCCGCGAUUUUUGCAAUAAAUAAACGCUUGUGUCUUCUGGCGCGCAGCCAAAGCUUCUGAAGCUGGGCUUGUGCGCGCAUUAACGUCUUCGUACGUGGCAUUUGUAUAGCUAUCAUAUAUUCCUAGCAAAAGAACAUAGCGCAUUUUCCGAACUUAUAUUUCUUCAUAUACCGCGA